GAAUUUUGGACAAUGGGGGCAACCCUGACCCAGCCAUCCCGCGUGUGCGAUGAAGGCCUUCGGUUUGUAAAGCACUUUUGGCAGGGAAGAAAAGGCUCUGGCUAAUACCUGUUGCUGCUGACGGUACCUGCAGAAUACGCACCGGCUAACUACUUGCCAGCAGCCGCGGGAAUACGUAGGGUGCAAGCGUUAAUCGGAAUUACUGGGCGUAAAGCGUGCGCAGGCGGUUUGGCAAGAAGGAUGUGAAAUCCCAGGGCUUAACCGUGGAACUGCAUUCUUAACUGCCAGGCUAGAGUAUGUCAGAGGGGGGUAGAAUUCCACGUGUAGCAGUGAAAUGCGUAGAGAUGUGGAGGAAUACCGAUGGCGAAGGCAGCCCCCUGGGAUAAUACUGACGCUCAUGCACGAAAGCGUGGGGAGCAAACA
rnacentral:rRNA from 1 species